ensembl:snoRNA SNORD4B small nucleolar RNA, C/D box 4B
GGUGCAAAUGAUGUGUCUGUUAGUGACCAAAGCCUGACUUCGGUGAUUAGUCUUUACUGACUGACUGCACC